UGGGGAAUAUUGGACAAUGGGGGCAACCCUGAUCCAGCCAUGCCGCGUGUGUGAAGAAGGCCUUCGGGUUGUAAAGCACUUUAAGCAGGGAGGAAGGCUCGUACGUUAACACCGUGCGGGAGUGACGUUACCUGCAGAAUAAGCACCGGCAAACUCCGUGCCAGCAGCCGCGGUAAUACGGAGGGUGCGAGCGUUAAUCGGAAUUACUGGGCGUAAAGCGCACGUAGGCGGUUCGUUAAGUCGGAUGUGAAAUCCCCGGGCUCAACCUGGGAGCUGCAUUCGAUACUGGCGAACUUGAGUACGAGAGAGGGGGGUGGAAUUCCAGGUGUAGCGGUGAAAUGCGUAGAUAUCUGGAGGAACAUCAGUGGCGAAGGCGGCCCCCUGGCUCGAUACUGACGCUGAGGUGCGAAAGCGUGGGGAGCAAACAGG
rnacentral:rRNA from 1 species